rnacentral:lncRNA from 1 species
UUUAUCACAAGCUGUAAUUGUAAGAAUUCAGUUGGUUAGGCAUAGGAGGGAAGUCCGUUUAUCAGCUCCUGUAGCUAAUGAUAUGCUGGAAGGGCUCCGAAUAUUUGUAGUUAACACAGAACAGCACGGUGAUAUCAGUGCAGACAUGGAAUGCGGGGAACAAGCAGGUGGCAAAAUAUAUUUUCAUCUGUUGGGUUCAAGUGGAAAUUUUGAAGAAUAUAUCAGAAGUCAUGUUUGAAUCAGAGGCUAAUAUGAGAUCAAGCAGGUAACAUUCUGUACAUCUUCUACUGCCUGACUUCAGAAGCUGACCACAUGUUCUUAUGAGUAAGCAAAAGUGACUUGGACUGAUUCUUCUUAAGCAGAGAAUGAAAGGAGAAGGCAUCUAUCAUGUCAAUGACCCAUGAAGUAAGAAGAAAUUAUAUAGUCUACCAUAAAGACACUGAAGGAGUCAUUAUAGCCUAUUAGAAAAAGUGACAUUCAGUACCCUACCUAGGAGCUGUAACAGCAACAGAGGCAUUGUCUAAAGAUGAAGUUAUAAAUGCUGCUACAGAAACAUCCUGGAGUCCUUUUUGCCCUGUGCAAGGGUAAUAUCAAGAAUCUUUCAACAGAAGAAAGAGGAUGGAUUAAAUUUUAAGACAAAUUUUCAAUUAUUUAUGAAACUGCAUUAUGAAACCAAGUUUUUAACCUGACCCGGUCCUGCAGAUAUACCCUUAUACCCUUCGUUAAAGGAAGAGACUUGGUCAGUAAUUGCUAUGAUAGGAGGAAAUUGAAUCACACUGAUAAAUGUUACCAGGAUCUAUUCCAUUUAAUUCCAUACCACUGCAAACAGAUGAUGGAUUUCCUAAUAAUGUCCUUCACUACUACUUCAGAGAAAUAACUAAUUUAAUCUGCCACUAGAUGUCAUUCCUUUUUCAUGCAAACAUGAAAAAUGUAAAUUUCCACCCCAAAAAAACCCAGUUAAAAAUGUAAGAUUUAAAAUGAAAGAAUCCAUUUGAUGUAUACAUACAUACAAAAAAACCUUUUUAUUCAUUAUUUUCCGUGUAUGAGCAGAGUGUUGUAAGCUUACUGAUGACUUUCAACAGAUCCAUCUGUAUUUAAAAGAUGUGAAAUGUUUUCAUAUACCCAAGCAGAAUGUGGUUUCAUUGUUUGGAUAACUAGUGAUUUGUGGUAUUGGUCCAUUCCAAUAGUAUUGGAGGUUCAACUAAAUCUCUUCUUGUAUUCAUUCAGGCCCAAAGAACUACUUUUCCUUGGUGGAUGUCAUCUGUCUGCUCAGAACUGGUUUCCUUGCUGCCUUUUCUCACAGCCCUUCUGAUUGUUUUGGGUUUUACUUCAUGGCUACCUAAACUUUACAAAGCAACAGCCAAUGAAAUUCUUCAAUUUUGGUGGGCCAAGUGAAGCCAUUUCUUUCUGAUUUUUUUCCCCCCAAGAAGAUUUCUGAAAGAUCUGAAUAGUCUAUAGAAAAGUCUUUGUUACAUAGUCUUUGCUAUCAAAGUCUUUGAUACCCAUAAAUUCACAUUGCAAAAUAUAUAUAUAUAUAUAUUUUGGGGAAAAAAAGAUUUUCAC